GACGAACGCUGGCGGCGUGCUUAACACAUGCAAGUCGAACGGAAAGGCCCUGCUUUUGUGGGGUGCUCGAGUGGCGAACGGGUGAGUAACACGUGAGUAACCUGCCCUUGACUUUGGGAUAACUUCAGGAAACUGGGGCUAAUACCGGAUAGGAGCUCCUGCUGCAUGGUGGGGGUUGGAAAGUUUCGGCGGUUGGGGGUGGACUCGCGGCUUAUCAGCUUGUUGGUGGGGUAGUGGCUUACCAGGGCUUUGACGGGUAGCCGGCCUGAGAGGGUGACCGGCCACAUUGGGACUGAGAUACGGCCCAGACUCCUACGGGAGGCAGCAGUGGGGAAUAUUGCACAAUGGGCGGAAGCCUGAUGCAGCAACGCCGCGUGCGGGAUGACGGCCUUCGGGUUGUAAACCGCUUUCGCCUGUGACGAAGCGUGAGUGACGGUAAUGGGUAAAGAAGCACCGGCUAACUACGUG
rnacentral:rRNA from 1 species